GUGGGGAAUUUUGGACAAUGGGCGCAAGCCUGAUCCAGCAAUGCCGCGUGCAGGAAGAAGGCCUUCGGGUUGUAAACUGCUUUUGUACGGAACGAAACGGUCCUGGCUAAUAUCCGGGGCUAAUGACGGUACCGUAAGAAUAAGCACCGGCUAACUACGUGCCAGCAGCCGCGGUAAUACGUAGGGUGCGAGCGUUAAUCGGAAUUACUGGGCGUAAAGCGUGCGCAGGCGGUGCUGUAAGACAGGCGUGAAAUCCCCGGGCUCAACCUGGGAAUUGCGCUUGUGACUGCAGUGCUGGAGUGCGGCAGAGUGGGAUGGAAUUCCGCGUGUAGCAGUGAAAUGCGUAGAUAUGCGGAGGAACACCGAUGGCGAAGGCAAUCCCCUGGGCCUGCACUGACGCUCAUGCACGAAAGCGUGGGGAGCAAACAGGAUUAGAAACCCUUGUAGUCC
rnacentral:rRNA from 1 species